AGUGGUAGUCCAAGCUCAGUGGUAGAGCACCUGCUCAGCAUGCAGAUGAUGCUAGGCUCAAUCCCUAUUAUCAUCA
rnacentral:tRNA from 1 species